CACACACCGGGCAAAAUAAAACAAGACACAGCAUCUCUCUGAGAUAUUACUGGCCAGCGAUGUCUGUUGACAUUAAUGAGUGGGUAUGUAAACAAUACAAAAAGAGUAUACUUGUUUGUUCAUUUUUUUUAGCCUGCAAACAUAAUGAAUGAAACUAUUCCUUUGUAUCUUUUGCAAACAAUUCAAAAUCAUUAUCUAAGAUCUUGCCCUUUUUGCAUGCAUUUAUUAACAAUGACUACUUUUCCACAAAACUUGCCAUUGUCAGGUGUCCCAAUGCACCGAAUGUCAGGCAGCCGGCAUAUCAAUAAAAAGCCCAACAGAGGUCAUGCCUAUACAGAUCAACAAGAGAGUAUGUGAAAUGCUUGACAUAAAAAGAAGCCUUUGCUCACCAUGCCGCCCCCAAACUAAUGGGUUGGUGGAAAAAUUAAAUGGGACAAUUCAAAGAGCUCUGAGCAAAGUGGUUUGUCAGCAUCCAGAAAGCUGGGAUGAAUAUUUGGAUGCAGUUAUGUUUGGUCUGCGGACCAAAAAACAAAUGACGACAAACUACUCGCCUUACUUUCUAAUGUUCGGCAGAGAGGCACGCUACC